rnacentral:lncRNA from 1 species
UUUUCUCACAGACGAGAGCUGCUUGGGGACUGGGGAGGAAACAUCAAACAAGGUCGGCAACUGCUGAAAUAUAUAUACAAAUCGGCGGCUACAAAGGAGGAGACAAGAACAAGCAAAAGAAAAAAAAAACGAGGAGGCUGCCGGAAAUUGGUUUGUUAAUUGGAAGAACAUUACAAGCGGCUGAAUUGGAUUCUCUGACCAAAAGAAUUGCUGUCUCUGUAAUGCACACAACAAAGGAGGCUGAAUUAAUCAUAUAAAAACACAAAAAAAGAGGCAGCUUCUGGGAGAGUUCAGCAGUUUGAGGAAAUAAAGAAAAACGUGGGCUGCAACAUAUAUAUUUACACAAACAUGGGCUGCUUUUGAAGAGACAAAAAGAGGCAAAAAUUGAGGCUGCUGGUUGACAAAUAUAUACAUAUAUACACGUGCAGACUGAGAGGGAAAAAGGGAGAAUUACACAAACAGAUUUGGAAGGAAGAAAAGGCAAACACGAAGAUGACAAAGACGUGACCACGGCAGCGUCACUUUGGAAAUUAAUUACGCUUCGUCAAUUAAUCCCGGUGAUGUCUUCCAUUAUUUUAUCUUGUUUUUCUUCCAUUAUUAUGAAUAGCUAAAUUUGAUUUAGGGCGAACAAUCUAACUUAAUUGGAUUCCUUUAUUUCGUUGAAUUAAGAUUCUAGUGCUUUAAUUUUUUAUGUGUUGAUUUUAAUGUCGUGCUUAAUGCUUUUAAUUACUUGAUAACUAAUUAGAUGAUUUGUGAACAAUGAUUGCGUAGAGAUACGGAUUAUUUGAUUAGACUGCAUGUUAAAAUCCGGUAAAUUGAUAUAACGUGUAGAGAAAUCUUUAUUGAUUGUUGCGGUCGUGUGUGAAUUCUUAGAACUAAUGUUGCGUUUAAUUAAAUUUAAUUUGCAUAGAAAUAUGAAAUUGAACUAAUUAAAUAGGCUCAACGAGAACUCGAGAGGAGUAAGUUGAAAUACCACAAAAGAAUUUGACCGAACACUACUUUAGGUUGUAUGAAUCUUGAUUUAUGAAAUAAAGGUAACCAUUAGGUGAAAUUGUUCCGCCCUAAUGCCCGUUUAUUAUUUGAAUUCUCGCUUAUUUUCUGUUGCAUCCAUUUGCAUUUUUUUUUUUUUAGUAUUUAGAUAGAUUUAAAAAUCACAUUCAAUUUCUAUUUAUUUAUUUAUUUUCAUUAAAUAGAAGUUAGGAAUAAUAAAUUAACCACUAAAAUAUAGUCCUCGUGGGAACGAUAAUUCGGACUCAAAAGGUCCACUUUACUACUUGUUACGAACCGUUCACUUGUGGGAUAAAAUCGACAACAAAAACCGUUGAUAAACAAAAGCCUUUAUACUCCAUGAUUAUAUCCUCCUUGUAUAUAUAUGUCACUCUUCUUACAACUUUUGGUAUCAGAGUUCCUUAGCAUAAUGAGGUAUUUUUACAUUUGAGUUCAAACUAUAUAUAUUAUAAAUUGGUUUGAUCUACAUAAUGCUUUAGUUCAUUGAUUAUUUCUUAAUGAACUAAAUCUUGAUAUUUUGACUUGUGACAUUAAAAGAUUUGCACAUACUUCUAGUUUUAGGGGCAUUAAAUAAAUUUUACCCUUGAAAUAAGUAUUUUGAACCUAUCAUAAAUUCACUAAUUUCAAGGAACAGCUAUGGGUCAAACCAUUCUGCUGCACACCCAUUUCCUAUUUUAGCUUAGGGGUGGGGAAUAUAUAUGUGAAUCUUUUAUUUUAUACAUAUUAGCCCAGAGCAUAAUUUGAUUUAGCCCACUGUGACAUAAUUUUCUAGUUUCACUCCUAGUCGAGCUUGAUGAUAGCAUUUCAUAACAACAUAUAAAUCCUGCAUCUUUUAACAAAGUUGUAAUGUCAAAUAGAAAUGAAUAAUACCAUCUAACACUAUGGUCACACUUGAUAUGUCUGUUCAAUUAAAUGAAUCACGUGAUAUUACAAUUAAAUUAAUAUAUCAUUUAAUGUCAAUGGUGUUGAAAAGCAUUACUCAUUAAAAAUACAUAAAUAAAAUGCUGCAGUUACAUAUCCUUCUUUACAGCUGGUAAUAUCCCAAAUAAUUUUCUUUUCUUCUGUUGCAAAGCAUAAGAGGCGCAUUUUCCGUCUUCAUCUUCUUCACAAAGAAGAAGAAAAUUCAGGAAAACUGAAUCAGCAAUCUCCAGCCUUGUCUGAGAGAAAGAUGGGGCUCCCCAGCCAAUAACAAUUUUCAUAUAAUGGGAAAAAAAUAAAGGUAAAAGAGGAAAGUAAGAGCAAAUCCAACUCAAUCACAAAAACUGAUAAACCUGAGUAAGAGAAAAAAAGGGGUUAGAAAAUAAUGGAUAUAAACUAACAAAGAAAUAAAAAUAUAUUCGAUUCCUAUUCACAUUGAUGAUGAAAGUUGAAACUACACAGCCAAGAGGGAAUUUACAAAGCUAGAAAUAGAAAUAUCACACUGAACAUAAGUUGAACAUCUCUGGCUACGUCAGAAGAUCUGCCAUGUCAAACUACAGACACAGAGAUUCUGAACCAUCAAAAUCUUGUGCAGAUUUUCGUCUCUCACAUAUGAGAAGAAUACCAUCAGUUUACAUGUUUUCCGAAGAGAGGUAUAAGC